rnacentral:rRNA from 1 species
UACGUAGGGUGCGAGCGUUGUCCGGAAUUAUUGGGCGUAAAGAGCUCGUAGGCGGCUCGGUAAGUCGGAUGUGAAACCUCCAGGCUCAACCUGGAGACGCCAUCUGAUACUGCCGUGGCUUGAGUCCGGUAGAGGAGCAGGGAAUUCCUGGUGUAGCGGUGAAAUGCGCAGAUAUCAGGAGGAACACCGGUGGCGAAGGCGGAUCUCUGGGCCUUACCUGACGCUCAGGUGCGAAAGCUAGGGGAGCGAACAGG